rnacentral:rRNA from 1 species
GGUGCAUGGUUGUCGUCAGCUCGUGUCGUGAGAUGUUGGGUUAAGUCCCGCAACGAGCGCAACCCUUAUAUUUAGUUGCCAGCACUUCGGGUGGGCACUCUAGAUAGACUGCCGGUGACAAACCGGAGGAAGGUGGGGAUGACGUCAAAUCAUCAUGCCCCUUAUGACCUGGGCUACACACGUACUACAAUGGCCGGUACAACGGGCUGCGAAAUCGCGAGAUGGAGCCAAUCCCAACAAAGCCGGUCUCAGUUCGGAUUGCAGGCUGCAACUCGCCUGCAUGAAGUCGGAAUUGCUAGUAAUCGCGGAUCAGCAUGCCGCGGUGAAUACGUUCCCGGGUCUUGUACACACCGCCCGUCACACCACGAGAGUUUAUAACACCCGAAGUCGGUGGGGUAACCGCAAGGAGCCAGCCG